GACGAACGCUGGCGGCGUGCUUAACACAUGCAAGUCGAACGGAAAGGCCCUGCUCUUGUGGGGUGCUCGAGUGGCGAACGGGUGAGUAACACGUGAGUAACCUGCCCUUGACUUUGGGAUAACUUCAGGAAACUGGGGCUAAUACCGGAUAGGAGCUCCUGCUGCAUGGUGGGGGUUGGAAAGUGUCGGCGGUUUGGGAUGGACUCGCGGCUUAUCAGCUUGUUGGUGGGGUAGUGGCUUACCAAGGCUUUGACGGGUAGCCGGCCUGCGAGGGUGACCGGCCACAUUGGGACUGGGGUACGGCCCAGACUCCUACGGGAGGCAGCAGUGGGGAAUAUUGCACAAUGGGCGGAAGCCUGAUGCAGCGACGCCGCGUGCGGGAUGACGGCCUUCGGGUUGUAAACCGCUUUCGCCUGUGACGAAGCGUGAGUGACGGUAAUGGGUAAAGAAGCACCGGCUAACUACGUG
rnacentral:rRNA from 1 species